ACACGAUCAACUCUAGUUAAGAGUUGGGAUUGACCUUAUAUGCUGUCGCGUGUAUUUGGUUUGAAUGUAUCAAGUUGAUGGGCUUCCCAAUGUUGCUCAAUGUGUGCUAGCGAGACAGUCGUCCCGAUCUCACAUUUCCGCUUCAUUGCAAAGUCCUAAGCACAACUUUUUAAAUGUUUCAUCAUCAA
rnacentral:misc_RNA from 1 species